AUGGGUGUUCGGACAGAAUCAGUCUUUAAAAAAACUGUUGCAGCUGGUUCAGACGAUGUUAGAGAACAUGAGGAGGAAAACCAUCAACAAAAAAGAAACAGGCAAAAGACUGAAGCCCCAACAAUAGCUGUUAGAUCUGCUCUAAACAGCCUGAAAAAGAAUGCCCAGAGGGACUCAGAACCAGCGCUCUCUGAAAUGUCAGACUCAACCAGCCCAUUGUCCCCUGGCACCUAUCUAAUGGUGGCAACGUCUGUGAGGGAAUUUGUCUCUUCCAUGCAUCAGAUGGUGGCCCGCGAGGGCUCCUCGGAGAAUAGAAGUUUGAGAAUUGUGGGCUGUUGCUGGAAACCCGUUCCUCGCCGCCGUUUGCACGCCUGGGCCGGGGUAACCGCCUACGGGAGACGCCAGGAGGGAAGAGAUUUCCACCUUAGACUGUUGCUGCCCAAAGAUUUACAGCUGAGGAACGCCAGAUUACUAUGUAGUUGGCAGCUGAAAGCAGUACUUAAUGGAUAUCAUCACAUAGUACAACAGAGAAUGCAGCAGUCUCCUGAUCUAGUGAGUUUUAUGAUGGAGUUGAAGAUGCUUUUGGAAGUUGCUUUAAAGAAUAAAAAAGAACCAUAUGUACUACCUCCUUCUCCCAAGUUCUACUCAAGCCUUAUUGGAGAAAUAAGAGCUCUUGGUUGGGAUAAGCUUGUGUAUGUGGAUCCUUGCUUUAGUACCAUCAAGUUAAAAGCAGAUGUUUCUGGUAGAGAGCAUCUAAUCACUGUCAAGUUGAAGGCGAAGUACCCUGCAGAAUCACCAGAUUGUGUUGUGGAUUUUCCAGUUCCAUUUUCUGUUUCCUGGACACCACAGAGCUCCUUAAUAAGCAUUUAUAGUCAGUUUUUGGCAGCAUUGGAAUCACUGAAGACAUUCUGGGAUGUUAUGGAUGAAAUUGAUGAGAAGACUUGGGUACUUGAGCCAGAAAAACCUACACGGAGUGCUACAGCACGCAGAAUUGUAUUAGGGAAUAACAUUUCAAUAAAUAUAGAGGUAGACCCCAGGCAUCCCACUAUGCUUCCUGAGUGCUGUUUUCUUGGAGCUGACCAUGUGGUAAAACCUCUGGGAAUUAGGCUGAGCAGAAACAUACAUUUGUGGGAUCCAGAAAACAGUCUGUUACAAAAUUUGAAAGAUGUUUUAGAAAUUGACUUUCCAGCUCGUGCUAUCCUGGAAAAAUCUGAUUUUUCUAUGGAUUGUGGGAUUUGUUAUGCCUAUCAACUUGAUGGUGCCAUUCCUGAUCAAGUGUGUGAUAAUUCACAGUGUGGCCAAUCUUUCCAUUAUAUAUGCUUAUAUGAGUGGUUGAGAGGACUACUGACUAGUAGACAGAGUUUUAACAUCAUGUUUGGUGAAUGUCUGUAUUGUAGUAAGCCAAUUACCUUGAAAAUGUCUGGGAGAAAAGCCUGAAAUAAGAAUGCAGCAUUCCUGUGAAGAGCUAGAAACUUAAAUUAUGAAAAGGAUUUUAUUUGAUAACUUCAGAGAAAAUAUAAAGCAAGACA